rnacentral:tRNA from 1 species
ACUAAAAUAGCAAAGUAGUAUUGCAUAAGGCCUAAGCCCUUCCGUCAUAGGUGCAAGUCCUAUUUUUAGUG